ensembl:lncRNA
CACAGACACACACACUGGUCACACACACUCUGGACACACACACACACUGGACUCACAGACACACACACUGGACACACACACACACACUGGACUCACAGACUCACGCUGGACACACACACACACACACACACUAGAUACACACACACACACACACACACACACACUGGACACACACACACUGGACACACACACUCUGGACACACACACACACACACAUGCGCGUCUUUCUAUAGUUGUGAGGACCUCUUACAACAACACUGUUAAAAUACAAUGUGAUCAUGUGUUGUCUUUUAUGUUGAAAAACUAAUUAUACAAUUAUAUAUAAUUAUAUAUGGACAUACGCUCCAUAGUUGUACAAGUAUACAAGGAUAUAUUGUACUUUUCAUAAUAAAACAUACUUGAAACAAGAAAAGCAUGUUAAUUGUGAAAACAGUUUGUUUAUUGAUUUAACGUUUCCUCUAUCAGGUUGAUGUUAACCUGCGACUGGUUGAAACAUGAAACAAAUAUGAAAUGAAAUACAAAACAAUUAAAUGUGUGGAAUAGAAUUAAACAAAUUGUACAAUUAGAACAACAGAGUGUUGUAAUGCAGGGUUACUAUAGCAACAGAGUGUUGUAAUGCGGGGUCACUAUAGUAACAGAGUGUUGUGAUGCAGGGUCACUAUAGCAACAUAGUGUUGUGAUGCAGGUUCACUAUAGCAACAGAGUUCUCUCUUCUCUCUGUUCUCUGCUCUCUCCCUCUUUCUGCUCGCUCUCUCUUUCUGCUCGCUCUCUCUGCUCUCUGCUCUCUCUGUCCUCUUCUCUCUGCUCUCUCUGCUCUGCUGCUCUCUUUUCUCUGCUCUCUCUUUGCUCUCUGCUCUCUCUUUUUACACAUUUUGUGACGUUACAGACUUAUUCUAAAAUGGAUUAAAUGUGUUUUUCCCCUCAUCAAUCUACACACAAUAAAACAUAAUUACAAAGCAAAAACAGUUCACUUUAUGUGUGAAAAUUUUUAUUUAAAAAAAAAUUAGAUAUCACAGAGGGAGAGUAGAGAGUCAGAACAGAGGGAAAGAGAGAGAGGGAGGGAGAGUAGAGAGUCAGAACAGAGGGAAAGAGAGAGAGGGAGGGGAGAGAGUCAGAACAGAGGGAGAGUAGAGAGUCAGAACAUAGGGAAAAGAGAGAGGGAGGGGAGAGAGUCAGAACAGAGGGAAAGAGAGAGAGAGAGUCAGUACAGAGUCAGAACAGAGGGAGAGUAGAGAGUCAGAACAGAGGGAAAGAGAGAGAGGGAGGGUAGAGAGUCAGAACAGAGGGAGAGAGAGAGAGGGUAGAGAGUCAGAACAGAGGGAAAGAGAGAGAGGGAGGGUAGAGAGUCAGAACAGAGGGAAAGAGAGAGAGAGAGGGUAGAGAGUCAGAACAGAGGGAAAGAGAGAGAGAGGAUGUGUGGAAGUUGCUUUAUAUUUGGUAAUUGGGGGCCUUUGAGCCAUGAUGGGCUGGGUGACAUCAUGACUCUCUGAGAGAUUACUGUUGCUGUGGAGGGAGAGCAAGAGAGAGAGAGAGGAGGGAGAGAUUAGUCAGCAGAAAUGAUUCAGGACGACAUUCAUCUUUAAAUGUACUUCUUCAUUUCUCUCUUUCCCCACUGAGGAAGAUAAAAG